GAUGAACGCUGGCGGCGUGCCUAAUACAUGCAAGUCGAGCGAACGGACGAGAAGCUUGCGUCUCUGAUGUUAGCGGCGGACGGGUGAGUAACACGUGGAUAACCUACCUAUAAGACUGGGAUAACUUCGGGAAACCGGAUCUAAUACCGGAUAAUAUUUUGAACCGCAGGGUUCAAAAGUGAAAGACGGUCGUGCUGGCACUUAUAGAUGGAUCCGCGCUGGAUUAGCUAGUUGGUAAGGUAACGGCUUACCAAGGCAACGAUGCAUAGCCGACCUGAGAGGGUGAUCGGCCACACUGGAGCUGGGCCACGGUCCAGACUCCUACGGGAGGCAGCAGUAGGGAAUCUUCCGCAGUGGGCGAAAGCCUGGCGGAGCAACGCCGCGUGAGUGAUGAAGGUCUUCGGAGCGUAAAGCUCUGUUAUUAGGGAAGAACAUAUGUGUAAGUAACUGUGCACAUCUUGACGGUACCUAAUCAGAAAGCCCCGGCUAACUACGUG
rnacentral:rRNA from 1 species